ACUCAUAAGAGAUCCGCCUACCUCUGCCUCCUGAGUGCUGGGAUUAAAGGUGUGGACCACCAUGCCCGGUUCUCGUUCUUAAUGCAUACAUGGGACCUUCCUGGAAUACAUACCCAAAGAAAUGGUCGAAGCUGGACACAACUAUACUUUUAGGAAAAGAGUAAGUGUAUGAAUAAGUGACAGAAUGGGUAGGGGUGGGGCUCUGGCAGAAAUGGGAGUUUCGCUAGGAAAUACAGUUAGGAGGGUUAUAUGAUGCUAUCUUCAUGAGAGUAUGCAUUCCUUUGAGGCAGUGCUGCCCUCUGGUGGUGAGGGCUGUUUCUGGAACUAAGAAGGCAUCAUCUCUGGGAGUUUUUUCACCUCAAGUAAGAAUGAGCAGGUAGACAGCCCUUUCCACAAAGAGGUUUUUAUUGUUGUUUUGGUUUUGGUUUCUCUGUGUAUCCCUGGCUGUCCUGGAACUCGCUUUGUAGACCAGGCUGGCCUCAAACUCAGAAAUCUGCCUGCCUCUGCCUCCCGAGUGCUGGGAUUAAAGGCGAGUGCCCCCACGGCCGGCUCACAGAGGUUUUUCAGGAGCAUAUUAACUCAUCCUUUACACCUUCAGUAGUCUUGACUGUGGCGCUCCUGCCCCAGCCCCUGUUAACCAUGCUGCUGCUGUUGCUUCAGGCUUUCCAGUCCUAGUGGCAGGAAAGUUAUCUAAUUCGUUUUUCCAAAAUUGUAUAGCUACUCUGUUUCAGAGACCCACAAUGGUGUAGAAGCAGAUAACACCAUCCACCUUUGACAAAGCUGCCAAGCCCCAAUGUCCACCCUAACAUGGCUAAUGAACCCUAGUUCUGAAGACCACACCAAGACAUUGAUGCAUGCCUCAGGGUCCACACCCAUGCAGUAUCUUUCAUGGCAGCACUUGGUGUGGAGGUGUCCGUCUUGUGCAGUAAGACAGGCUGGAGAAGUCACAUUAUCAGCUGCAGGCUUUCAAGUUACUGGGAGGAGCAUGGAACAAUGGGAAGGUGGGGGUGUCGUGCAGACAGAGGCCAUGUCAUUUGGCAUAACAGGAAGCACACAGUGAAAAUGCUGUGCUUGUCUGAGAUGAAUCAGUGGGUAAGAGCACUUGCUCUGUAAACAAGGACCCGAGCUCCAUUUAUCAGCAUCUAUAACAUUGCACUGGCGCAAAAGCAGAAUUCUUACUAGAGAAAUAGAACUGAGAACCAGUUCUCCUAUAGCCACCCAGAGGCCAGCGGUACACACUGAAGAAAAGAUGGCAUCUUCAGCAGAUGGUGCUGGUCACACUUGAUAGACACAUUCAGAAUGAGCAUGCAUUCAUAUCCAUCACCCUGCACAAAACUCACCUCCAGAUGGGCCACGGGCGUCAACAUAAGUCCAGAUACCUUGAAUCUGAUAGAAGAGAAGAUAGGGAAUAGGCUUGAACUCGCUGUCCCAGGAAAGGGGUUUCUGAGCAGAGCACUGAUAGCCCAGGCACUAAGUGCUACACUUAAUAAAUGGGGCCUCAUAAAGCUGAAAAGCUUUGCACAGCAAAGGACACUAUCAUUCAAGCAAACUGACAGCGGGAAAAGAAAUCAUUACCAGCUACCAGUCUAGCAGAGAGUCUGCACCCAGAAUGUAGAGAAGACUAAAGAAACCAAGCAGCAUGUAAACCCAGCCCAAUUUUAAAAGUGAGGCAUGGCAAUAUACAGAGUUCUCCAAAGGUUAAACAAAUGGCCGAGAGACGUUUUUACAGUGUUCAUCAUCUUUGCCAUCAGUGAAAAUGCAAGUUAAAGUGACUUUGAGAUUAUUUUAGCCUAGUCAUAAUGGAUAUGAUUUAAAG
rnacentral:lncRNA from 1 species